ACCUUUUCAUUUCCAUUAGCAACUUCAUUCAUAAUUUUCAAAUUAUUACGAGUUUAUAGAAUUAAUGUAAAACAUGAUUUUCAAAUACCAACAUUUCUAAUUCAAUUCCCAACAUCAACCACAACCCACAACCUGUCUACGGAGCCUCUAAGUACAAUAUAAGAGUAAUUUAGAAAUGCCGGCAACAAGGCCCCAGCUAUACCUCAAAAUACAGUACAUGAUAAACAAAAGAUACAUGACCCCGAAAUGAAGUGGGGCUCACCAAAUAAGCUGAAAAGAGUGUAUUGCUAUCGCUGAUCAAUGCCGCCUGUUGUAGAAUUACCUGCAUCCAUUAAAGAUGCAGUGCCCCCGGCAAAAGGAACGUUAGUACUGUCGAAUAGCACUAGUUAAAACAUAUGUCAACACACAGAAACAACAAGUCACAAUCCACAAUAUACAAAUGUCCAGUUAAAACAUAAAAAAAUUUAAAAUACGAACUUCAUAUACAGUUUUUGGUUGGGAGAUCAUUAGCGCAGAUAUACCACCGUCUUUGUUAGCACGGAGACUGAUCACGCCCGAUCGGCUAGGUCAUCUCCCCACGAAUAAUGUGGUUUGACAAGUAAUGCGAAAUAAAGUUGUUACCAAGAGUAGUACCACCAUGUGCGCAACAUGGCGUCCGAUCUCCACCCGAUCAGCUAGGCUGCCUUCCCACAUAUGCCGUGUGGGUUGACUUUUCCAAUCCACAAUUGUUACCAGUUUAUCUCAAUUAAGGGGAAUAAUAUCAUAAUUUUUCCAAUAUUUCAAUUUUAUCCCAAAUAAAGGGAAUAAUCACAAUCCACCCAUACACCGGCACGUGUAGUUUCAGGUGUGGGCCUUAUGACCCACCCUUCCUUGGUUUUGCUAAUGAUGCUCCCAAAAAUAUUUUUUUGAUUGGAUUUGCACACAAAGGUAACAUAAAUACAAUUGUACUCACCUCAACAUCUUUCACAUUGUAUAAAUUCUUAUUAGUAUUUUCAGUUACUCACAACAAUAAUAUUUCCUUGGCUCAUUUUGCCAUUCACAAGAUUCUUUAUUCUUGUCACGGUGAUCGUAUUUCAUAUUCCACACUUUCACCUCUUUGAAUUUCAAAAGUCACCAUCAAAUAUCAACAUAUAGAAUAUUUCAGCAAUCAUAUAACUCGAAUUUAUUAGUAAUGGAAACUUUAAACACACAAGGUUCCUUCCUAAAUAAUGGGGCAUACCGACCAAGGAACACAAGCACACAUCAAAAUCAUAAGCAAUCAAUACACCAUUUAUUCUUGCAAUACUCCUUCCCAGAAAUAAAAAUAUACAAUUUCAAUACCUGAAUAUGUAAGAACUCGAAUCACACUAGAUAUAUUUAUAACGCAAAGCAUUAGUUAAAGCAACAACUUAUGGGCAUGAAUUGAGUACAAAAGCCUUUAGGCAAUUCUAUUUUCGAAAUCAUUUUUAAACAAUCGAGUCGAGACUCAUUUCAUAUUCUUUAUCGCAUUCUCUCAAAUCAUUUGCACUACUAGCCACAGUCAUAACUUAAAUUCUUGGCACGUUGGCCACACUCUAUUUCUUCAAUUCGCUUAUUUUAUUUUCAAGCAUCAUUAAAGAUAAGCAACAACAUGGAACUUCCAAUCAAAACUUUAGAUACACAUAUAAGCAAUUAUGAGUCUUAGGCAUAUCGAGAUUUUCUCACCCAAUUGGUAUACUAGUUUUCAUUUAAAACAUGACUCAAAGCCACAACAUUUUAAUAUGCAAACCAUACUUUGAACAUCUAUCUUUCGACAUAAGGUUUAUUCGGAAUGAACAAGUUUAUAGGGAAUAACCCGGAAUAUAGAAGUUUGGAAUCUUGAGCCAAUCAUACUUGAUCUUAUGGAAACAAUAUGGAACUCGAUUUUAAGAGAGAAAGUUUAGCCAACAUACCUCAAUUGAGCUUCCUUACACUCUAAAAUGUUCCGAAAAUCNUAGCAACNNNNNNNNNNNNNNNNNNNNNNNNNNNNNNNNNNNNNNNNNNNNNNNNNNNNNNNNNNNNNNNNNNNNNNNNNNNNNNNNNNNNNNNNNNNNNNNNNNNNNNNNNNNNNNNNAUGGCUCAUUUGUCGCAUAUCUAGCCUAAUAGUGCGGCCCAUGAAACGGUUUUGCAUUCGCAUAAUAGCCGUGAAAUUGACAUCAAGAUGAUCCAGAAAACUGACCCACUCUGCGACCAGUCUGCGGUCCGCAGAGUGGUUCUACGGCCGUAGAAUGGGUUGCAGAAAUGCCUACUUUUUUCCCAACAUUUUCCUUAACUCUCCAACGCACUGUUCAAUCCAAAAAGUCCGAACAACGGCGAGCUUGCGAGUCAUGAAGAAUUUCUACUAUUAUUAUCCUCUACGCAUGCCCCGACAUCACAGAACCUCGAUUUUUAGGAAACCUUUCACGGGGCCUUACAUCCUGCCCCACUUAAGAUCAUUCAUCCUCGAAUGAGGAUCAAGGUUCACUAUUAACAUCUUAUGCACUCAGUCUUCAUACCACAUACCAUCAACCCCAAAUUUGACUAACUUCCUAAAUUCCCAAAAAUAAUUUCGCCAAAGUUUUCCCUGUAACUAGGCCUAUUCACUUGUCAGAGUCACACCAAAAUAACUCCUAAUAACACAUCUACAACUUGACAAAGCAUCACCAUGUAUAACAACAUCACUAACCUCAUCAUUACAAGCAUUAUAUUAUCAAGAGUGGUAUCUGGACAUGAACUACAUAUAUUUAAAUCAUAAUACCUAGAAAGUACCUUUCAAAUCACAAUCAUUUGACUAUACACUCAAGUGAGAACACUUUAUUUCCUUAACACUUUUGGCCCUCAAGGUGGCCUCCUCGACUUACAUAUUUCGCCAUAACAUAUUAACGGAGGCAAUCUCAACUCCUGGACUUUUCUAACAAGGAUAGCAAAUAGUUUCUCCUCAUAAUCCAAUUACCCAUUAACUUCACCUUCUUAGACAUAGACACAUGAAACACCGGGUACAUGGAGAACAAUAAUAGGGAAACAUCAUACUCAUAGCUUGGCCUAUUUACUUCAAGAUUCCAUAAGGCCUAACGUGACUACACAUACUUUACCUUUAUUAACAAUUCACAUAGCAUCCUUAUGGAGAAACUAUUGAGAAUAACCCGUUCACUUUCUUCAACUCUAAAUCUCUACGCCAAAGACCCAAAUUAAACCCCUGGCGACCUCUAACAAUUAGUCUAAGAUGCGCUAGCAUGAGUACGACCAUAAAAUUUCUACCUAAUAUAUUUGAUCACGGGACAAUGAUUCUUCUUUGACAUAUUUGAACCUUUAACCCCCCAUAGAUUUAAUACAAGGAGGAACAACGGGGUUCGAGGUUGGCUAGAAUUAUUCAAGAAUCCAUCAAUGGGCUGAGCAGAGUAUUUCAUGAGGUUGUAUAUCCUAAAAGACAUGAAGCUUAUUACUGAUAACGCUGACAAGAUUAAUCAUAGUGAUGACAUCAUUGAUUCGACAAAUGAGGCAUAUAGUUAACUUGUAUAUUGGCAAUAGAAAUCCUUAAGGAGGAACAGUCAAGUACGUGACACCAAUUACCUACUUGAGUGUAGGGAAAAUUUGUUUAAUUUAAAAUGAGAAUAUUCUGGCACCCUGAAUGUGAUUUGGGUUUCAAAAUACAUGAAGUUGCAUUAUGCUCUUAAGAGUAAAUGGCACAAGGAAUCUAUGCCACAAGCCUGCGAGGAUGAAAAAGAAGUUGAACACUUGUCAUAUUACUAUCAUUCUGACAGCUUAACCCCUUUCCGAUAGUUGAUCCUAUAUGAGAGAACUAGAGAUGCGACAAACUUGUCUUUCAAAUCAAUAUACUCAUGAUAUGUGCCCAAAAAUCUAGAAGCAUCUAAUUUCAGCCUUUCACGAGUGAAACCACAUAGCUGGGACAUCUAAAUAUUUGGGAUGAAAUCAUAUUUUGGUUAGAGAAAAUGAACAUUUUUCUAUGAGAUAGGCAUGUUUCUGCCAUAAUAACUCUCAGGAUGCAAUACCAGGCCACUUCAUGGAAGACUACAAUACUAGGUAUAAAGUGAUCUACUUACUAUGAGACGAUUUAGGUGAACAUGAUAGUCAUACUGAGAUGUGUAAACAACAAGAUCUCCUUGUGACGAAUUUGUGAUAAAUCUCAAAUUUCUCAGAAACUUUAUGAGGACAAGUGGAUCCUUUUAAAUUGACAUGUACGCACAUGAUAGGUGCUGAUAUAUGCUCCCAUGUUACUAGACAGUGGAAAGGAUUCAUGAUAAUAUACACAAAUGAACAAAGUGAUUGUUCAAACCAUAUGAGCGACAUACACCGGAGAGAAAAAGAGUGGCUCAAGAAGGAUCUCAACACUUGGCUGCUUUACAUUAGAUUUUAUACCACAUAGGUAAAUAUUAUGGUGGUGCGUGCAUCGGCACUAGUGAGCAGAUGUUAUCCAUUUGAAUCAAAAGGUUUUGUACGAAAUUCAUUAGGUAUAGUCCCUUGUUGAGAAGUUAGGAAAGCAAGUAGGAAGUAUUAAUCCUAGAGUUAUAACUCAAUUCAAGGACAUAAUUAUAGAGCUCAAUUUCUCAAGAGGUUGUAAAUAAGAGAAUAUGUGAUAGAGUGGCUUCACGAAUAAUGCGUCUCGUUUAAGGAGUAGAUACAAAGAAUGACUCAAAAAGUUGUUUCGGUUCUAUCCCAACAUCUAUAGUAGCAUAAGCAGUGACAUAUGACAAAGUGGAACCGGGAUCAAUAAGAGCAUACACAUCAUGAGAUUAGACGAUCAAUAUACCUGUAACCACAUCUGGAGAAACCUCAAAGUCUUGACGUCUACUCAUAGCAUAAAACCUCUGGGGCCCUCCCGAGCCUCAAGCUGGGGGAGGCGCAGUGGAUGUAGUAGCUACAAAACUGGAUGGCUGGGUCAUACCCCUGCCCAAGCUCUGGCGAACCAAAUAAUAAUCUCUUUGAAAGUGACGUGUCAUACCACACUUGUAUCAUACAUUGGUACCAUAGUGACAUACUCCACGAUGACAUCUCCCACACUUCACACAACGGGGAUAAGGUCCGCUAAACUGACUCAUCCCACUGACCUGAUAUUUACCCUUUUCGCAUACAUCAUAAGCAUAGCCCUUAUCCUUCCUCCAAGCUUCCAAUGCGGUAGUAACAAUUUCAGUGCCAGAUUGUUGUGUGGCCCUUUGGAAUUGCCCAAAUCUACCACCCCUAACGCACUGCUGAGCAUACUCACAACACGACGCCAAAUGUUUCUUCCCGCAUGACGGACAUAACUGGAUGGGUGUUCCCAACCUAGGGCAUUUGUUCUUCUUGUGCCCCAUCUUUCCACAACCAUAACAUAUUUCAAGGGUCAUCCAACAUGUUCCCAAGUGUCGCUUGCUGAAAAUCACACAACCUGGUUCAUUAGCACCAACAACCCUCUUUCGUUUCUUAGAUUUUCUCACCACGCAAUCCGGUGGUAUGGUGACAUUGGUCGGAAUAAGGACACUUCCCUUAGCAACAAGUUCUUCCAAUCCUCCACGGCUCGACCCAUUCUCCCAACGAACUCUGGUAUAAUCUCCUUCAAAUUUGAUGGCGCGGUAUUCCCUCCUCACUGUUUCGAAUUCGGGGAUUACUCAUCUGGAAAAAUGAGACCUAACGAGGAAAUUAGCUUCCUAUCUUGAGCUCUAUCGCACGAUAUAGAGUAUCAAAGAAGUGUGAAAUUCUUAAAUGCCCAAGUAGCCUCCUCAUUAUAGAUGUGGUCGACAACACACCGAUAAGAAGUACUCUACCAGACACGGCUCCGAGAUAUCCUAGGGCACUUUAAAAACCUUAGGCUCUGAUACCAAGUUUGUCACACCCCAAACUCGGGGAGCGCAACCGGCGCUCAACCGAGAGAACCCGAUCGAGCAAUCCUGUUAGAUUACCUUCUACCCAAACGCAUCUAUGAAUAAAUAGGAGAUGUACUCCAUUACUCAAAUACUGAAAAGAUUCUAUUAACAACUUCCUUUUCAUUCUCAUUAGCAGCUUUAUUCAUAAAUUCUUAUUAGUACUUCCAGUCACUCACAAUAACAAUAUUUUCUUAGCUUAUUUGGCCAUUCACAAGAUUCUUUUUUCCGGGCACGAUGGAUGUAUUUCAUAUUCCAUACUUUCACCUCUUUCAAUUUUAAAGGUCACCAUAAAAUAUCAACAUAUGGAAUAUUUCAACAAUCAUAUACCUUGAAUUUAUUAGUAAUGGAAACUUUAAACACACAAGGUUCCUUCCUAAAUAAUGGGGCAUACCGACCAAGCAACACAAGCACACAUCAAAAUCAUAAGCAAUCAAUACACCAUUUAUUCUUGCAAUACUCCUUCCCAGAAAUGACAAUAUACAAUUUCAAUACCUGAGUAUGUAAGAACUCGAAUCGCACUAGAUAUAUUUAUAAAGCAAAGAAUUAAUUAAAGCAGCCACUUAUGGGCAUGAAUUGAGUACAAAAGCCUUUAGGCAAUUCUAUUUUCGAAAUCGUUUUUAAACAAUCGAGUCGAGACUCAUUUAAUAUUCUUUAUCGCAUUCUCUCAAAUAAUUUGUACUACUAGCCACAGUCAUAACUUAAAUUCUUGGUACGUUGACCACACUCUAUUUCUUCAAUUCGCUUAUUUCAUUUUCAAGCAUCUUCAAUUUAGGCACACAUAUAAGCAAUUAUGAGUCUUAGGCAUAUCGAGUUUUUCUCACCCAAUUGGUAUACUAGUUUUCAUUUAAAACACGACUCAAAGCCACUACAUUUUAAUACGCAAACCAUACUUUGAACAUCUAUCUUUCGACAUAAGGCUCAUUUGGAAUUAACAAGUUUAUAGGGAAUAACCCGGAAUAUAGAAGUUAGAAAUCUUGAGAUAAUCAUACUUGAUCUUACAUAAACAAUAUGGAACUCGAUUCUAAGAGAGAAAGUUUAGCCUACAUACCUCAAUUGAGCUUCCUUACACUUUAAAAUGUUCCNNNNNNNNNNNNNNNNNNNNNNNNNNNNNNNNNNNNNNNNNNNNNNNNNNNNNNNNNNNNNNNNNNNNNNNNNNNNNNNNNNNNNNNNNNNNNNNNNNNNNNNNNNNNNNNNNNNNNNNNNNNNNNNNNNNNNNNNNNNNNNNNNNNNNNNNNNNNNNNNNNNNNNNNNNNNNNNNNNNNNNNNNNNNNNNNNNNNNNNNNNNNNNNNNNNNNNNNNNNNNNNNNNNNNNNNNNNNNNNNNNNNNNNNNNNNNNNNNNNNNNNNNNNNNNNNNNNNNNNNNNNNNNNNNNNNNNNNNNNNNNNNNNNNNNNNNNNNNNNNNNNNNNNNNNNNNNNNNNNNNNNNNNNNNNNNNNNNNNNNNNNNNNNNNNNNNNNNNNNNNNNNNNNNNNNNNNNNNNNNNNNNNNNNNNNNNNNNNNNNNNNNNNNNNNNNNNNNNNNNNNNNNNNNNNNNNNNNNNNNNNNNNNNNNNNAAUACAUGCAUGCAAGGUAAGCACCCCCAUCCCAUGAACUACCUUACUAAUUGCCCAUUCUAGUUAACUUUUGAAAUUAAGAGUUUGGUGAUAGAACCUUACCUCUUAGGAUGAAGACCUCUUAAUAAUCUUCAAGGGUUUAUGCAAGAAUUGAAGAGUAACUUGAUGAAGAUCACUUUCUCCCUCUAGGACUGUCUCUCUCACUCUAAAGUAUCAGAUUUUGCUCAAAAAUGGUCUAUGGGAUGGGUUUUAACGGAAUUGGGUCGGGUUUAAUUUCUAGUUAACUUUUGAAAUUAAGAGUUUGGUGAUAGAACCUUACCUCUUAGGAUGAAGACCUCUUAAUAAUCUUUAAGGGUUUAUGCAAGAAUUGAAGAGUAACUUGAUGAAGAUCACUUUCUCCCUCUAGGACUCUCUCUCACUCUAAAGUAUAAGAUUUUGCUAAAAAAAUGGUCUAUGGGAUGGGUUUUAACGGAAUUGGGUCGGGUUUAAAUAACCAAAAAAUGAAGCUCCGGAACAAGUUCAGUGGUCGCAUAUGCGACCGCAUAAUGGUUAUGCGGUUCGCUAACCAACCGCGAAAUUGGGGUGCCAGAACUGGAAGGAAACUGACCUCGUCUGCGGUCACUAUGCGGCUCGUAAACCUGUUUUGCGGUCACAUAAUGCACCGCAGAACGGUUUUGCGGUCGCAUAUGCGCCAUGGAACCUCUCUUCGAAAACUCACAAGGCUAGAUAUGCGACUAUAGUGCGGCCAGCAAAACGGUUAUGCAGUCGCAUAAUGGCUGCGAAAUUGACAUCAAGAUGACCCAGAAAACUGCCCCACUCUACGACCAGUUUGCGGUCCACAGAGUGAUUCUGCGGCUGCAGAAUGGGCCGCAGAAAUGGCUACUUCUGCCCAAUAUUUUCCUUAACUCCCCAACGCACUGUUCAAUCCAAAAGGUCUGAACCGCGGCUAGCUUGCGAGCCGCGAAGAAUUUCUACUAUUAUUAACCUCUACGCCUGCCCCGACAUCACGAAACCCCGAUUUUUAGGAAAAUAUUUACGAGGCCUUACAGUCACGGUAUUUUCGUAUAUGUAUUUAUGAGAUUUUACUCUUAAACUCAUUUUCUUAUGUUUUUAAACUUAAAGAAAUGCGUGGUUUAUUGAGGUUGUCGGCCUGCCUAGUAUAUGUCGAUAGGCACCAUCACGACAUGUGAGAUUUGGGUCGUGACAGGUAUACAUCAUAUUUAUUGUAAACCAAAAUUAUUUUAAAAUAUUAUUUUCUAUAGCUACCUUUUAUAUUUUAUAACAAAAUAGGUGUUUAUGGUCCUCUCUCUUUCUUUCAAUUAACAUACAAUUCUCUCUCAGAAUUUUUCUUCUUUCUCUCUCUCCCCCUUCUCUCUCUCUCUUCGAGCAAAAUAGUUGCUUCUAAUCGUGAAUUCUUUAGCCGAAUCCUCUAGGGUUACUGCAAUUGAAAAUACUUCUAAACUGUUGGGAGAAAGAGGAGAAAGACAGACCUUUUCUGUACGAAUCCGAUGAACUUUCUUCUCUUCUUGGCUGGAAAACGCCAUCUCCCACGAAUUUUCUUCUCUUCUUUGCUAUUUAGUCUCAUACAAUGAUACAAAUGCACUGUAUUCUGUACAAAUUCACUCAAAUACAUUAUAUUUUUGUAUAAAUAUAUUUUUUUGCUUGUAUUUAUGUAUUUCGAAGGUGUAUAUUUUUUUUAUUAUAGUUGAAUACAUGAUAUAAACAUUGAAAUACACUGAAUGAAAACAUUGAAAUAGAACAAAAUAUAAACAGUGAAUACAUUUAAUCUUAAAAUAUAACUAAAUACAGUAAAAUACACUGAAUACAAAUAGAAAUACAGUUAAUACAACCAAUGAAAUAUAUUAAAUACAGCAUUAAUAACAUGUAUUAGGAAUAACUAAAAUACUAUUAAUACAAAUAUAUUUGAAUACACUGAAUACAAAAUAGCGAAUACAGUAAAUACAAACACUGAAUCUAAUGAAUGCAAUAGUAGAAAACAAAUACUGAAACACACUAAAUACAAAAGUUAAAUACAACAGUUAUAUACAACUGAAUUUUUUUUCUAAUUAAUUGUGUUGAUAAUGAAGCAUGUUAGAAUUGAUUUUGUUGAGUUAUAUUAGGAGUGUAUUAAGCUAAUUAAUCCUAUUUCUGUUAUUAGAUAGCAGGACAUUUUUAAGAUGAUUGUCGUUACUGUAUUCAUGAAUACAUGGUGCAAAUACAUGUGAAUACAGUCGCGUACAGCUGUAACCCCCUGUUUUUAGGCGACUUUUGUUACUGUAUUCAUGAAUACAGUUGCGCGAAUACAUCGAAUACACUAUCGUAAUAACUGAAUAGUAGUUAUAGGAAGUAAUUAUGUAUAUGAUAGUUAUAGGAAGUUAACAACCACUAAACAAUCGUGGUUUCUGAAAAUUCCUCGUCUCUUAUAUCUCGGAGUCUAUUCGAAGCAUAAUAUCUUGACUUGUGAACGGUAAAAUGUUCAUUAAUUAAUCAUUUAUUGAGUAAACAUGACCUCUAUUUGAAAUUAAAGCUAAUAUAAUGUAGUACAUUUUCGUAUUACUUGGUCAACUUUGAUGGCCACAUAUUCAUGACUUCGUGUUCAAAAAAAAAGAUGUUCCCUCAUUUCGCAACUUGCCUCUUAUUGGAGAAAUAGUAGAAAUAAAGAAGUGAGAAAUUCAUUAAUAAUAUAUUUGUUGUAUUAUGCAAACUAGGCAUGUUUAUGUGGCUUAUAUAUAGGGAAAAUGUAAAUGCUGGUCGUCAUUAGUUAUUUUUUGUAGCAUUCUCUAUUUAUGUGUAUGUGUAUAUAAUAAACAAACACCUUACCAGUGUUUAAAUAACACUUUUAACUUGCACUUUUAAUGUCCUCCUUCAGCUUAUUGGUCCAGUUCCAGUAUUGGCCUCAAUGUAUUUUUAGGUUUAGCAUUGCCCUUAACGUUUUCUUUUAGUUUAACAUGUCCAUAAAUUAACAGACUAAUAUUGUGGCUUUUUAUCAAUAAUGUGGCAAUAUAAGAAGACCCUUUUUAUCAACAUGCCCAAAAAAAAUACAAGAAUCUUGGUUAAGGAGAAGAAUUGUUUGUAGCUGAAUAAAGGGGUGUUAAUUUUUUUUUCCUUCAAUUGGGGUUUGUUGUGAAUAAAUUCAGUAUUCUGGAUUUAUACUGUUUUAUUGUGUUUUUUUAAUUCUGAAGAAGACCCUUUUGGAUUUAGGGGCUAAAGUUCAGUUCUUUAAGUUAUUUCUUAGAAUUUUGAGAAUGUUUGGAUUUUUUUUUUUUUGCUUUACUGGUGCUAAACACAAAUUCUGAAGAAGACCCUUUUGGAUUUAGAGGCUAAAGCUCAGUUCUUUAAGCUAUUUCUUGGUAUAUUAAGAAAAAAGAUUGGAUUUUUUUGAUUUAUUGGUGUUUGGGUUGUGGUGGAUUGUUCUGAUUUUAACCUUUGUUUUGGUUGGUGAAUUUCCUUAUCCGGGGUUUUCUUGAUUGUUUUUUAUUGUGUUGGAUUCUGGUGCAAAGACUCAAUUUUUUUAACAGUUUCUACUGUUUUUUUCCUUCCUCAAACAGUCUAUCUACCAUCCCAAGAUAGGAGUAAGGUCUGCACUAUCAUCUCUAAACCCCAUUUUUGGGACUCCACCGGGUCUAUUGUUGUUGUGGCAAUUUACGAUCGGUCCAGGUAUAACUUAAUGCGAAUUAAUUAUCAAAUCCAUAUGUAUAAAUUCAACCCAUGCAUAUCAUUGAACCCGAAUUUAAAAUUAGCCUUUCACCUCGAUUCUUUUCUUCUUCCUCAUACAAUGCCCUUCCCUAUACAAUACCCUUCCAUGAACCUAACAACUUUUCUCAACAAGAAAUUUGACAACCAAGAAACACGAAUUGACAUUGCACCUUCUUAUUAGUCUCAUACCUGCUAAUAUAACAAAAUAUUAAGAAACCAGGCAGGCACUUUUUUCAAUCCUUUGUCCGUUUGUUUCUUUAUGCAACAAAACCACAAGUAUUUGCAGAGAAUUCUUUUAAAAUAUAAAAUUUAUUCUAUUGGGUUUGUAUGUCACGCCCCGAAAUUAGGAUGAGGCGUGAUGACAAUCAACCUAUCUUACUUGUCGAACAAAACUUGUUCUAACUAUCGAAAAUUCUAUAUAGAACAUCAUACCCAAGAGACUCAUAAAUAAAUCUUAAGAUAAUAGAUGUUUGAAAGCUAAAUGAUAACUUAAACACUAACAUGUCUGACAACUGAGUCCACUAACAAAGUAUCUAAAGAAUCUGGAGUCCAUUGCAUUUGGCACCCCUAAUGUCUAUCUUUUUUUUGUGAUUUGCAACCUGUCAUGUUUUGUUUUACGAUUUUAAUCCUAAGCUCUUUAUUCACUUGCAAAACAAUAAAAUCAUCAUUUAUAUAAAUUUUUCAUGAGGGCAACAUAGAAAAUACAAAUAAAAUAUCUUCUUUUUUUUUAAGUUAUUUUUUUAUGGUGGGACGUUAAUCCUAGUGAAACUCUUGCCGCCAUCAUCAUUGCAUCGUGGGAGACAUGGUUAAGCUCUCCAAGCAUAAAACGCGCUAAAGGCAGCGUCAAUUUUACCGAGAAUAAAUAGCACAUCCAGUAUAUCAUCAAUGGAUAAGAGCAAGGAGAAACGGAAAAGUCGAUUGAAGAAGGAGAAAUUGAAAGGUAAUAAGUUCAGAGUAAACAAAUUCCAUUCGUAUGCUCUUUAAUUCGUCGAUGGGUAUUGAAUUGCCAAAAGCUUAUUGUUUGCAAUGCGUAAGAUGCAAUCCAUCAUUAACAUGUUCUUGUCCCAUCCUCUAUCUGCUAUUGAUUUUCUUUUUUUAAAAAAAUAAAUCACAAAACUCUAACUCACUACAACAAUGCACCAGAAAGAAAGGUUUGCAAAUCUAUCAAAAUUUCAAACAACUCUGAAUACUAUCAUGUACAUCAAUAAAGAAAGAUCAAUUCAUUUAAGUUCUUGCUCUACUUUGGAUAAAACAGGCCUUGUGUCAAUUUAGCUUUUUUGUUGGCCGUAGUUGUUUACUUUUAUUGAAUAUUCUGAUACCAAAAGUAGUUCUUCAAUAUGUAUUUUUUUUUAUCUAAUCUAGAAAUUGAGCUAGCUAAAAUAAUUUUAAACCUUGCAUGAGCUUUUUACAUUGAAGAUUCACCAUGGAGGUGAAUUCUUAGAUGUACAUUUGGGAGGCAAGAUAGAUUUUAUUGAUAAGUGUGAUCCACAUAAAUGGUCAUUGCAAACCUUGGAAUGGAUUGGAACAACGAGAUUAAGAUACAGCAGUAAGAAAAGAGGAUAAAAAGAAAAAUCUAGCAGGAAAUGGCGAAGUUAGUGUAAAGGGGAGGAAAGAGGGGAAGGAAAAAAAGAAAGAUAAAGUGAUGGAGAAAGCCAAGAGUGCCAAUUUUGCCGGGUUACUACUGGAGGACUCAAGUACAGAAUCUGAGAAUGAUAACAUCUCUCCUAAGUAUGAUUCAGAUGACAUGUGCAGUAUUAAUAGCGAUGAUGAUGAAAAGGUUAGAAAGGUUGAAAAUGUUGCAUUUAGGGCAGAAACAGACAUGGAUAAUUUAACAUUUAGGUUGGGAAAGACAUUCAUUGAUGCAAUAGAAUUUAGAGCUGCACUGAGAGCUUAUUCUAUUAAAAAUAACAAGAAAAUUUCCUUCAAAAAGAAUGAAUCUGAUAAAAUUUCUGCAAAAUGUUGUGAUCAAUGUCCACGGCGCAUAUAUGCAUCUAAAAAGGCACCAGAUGACCCCACAAUCACGAUAAAAACUUUAGUUGGGAAACAUUCUGAUGAUUGUUUGUUUGUUUAUGUCAACAAAAAUGUGAAAUCUCGAAUGAUUGCCAAAUAUUUCCUGCAUUAUUUGAGAAUACAUCCAGAUGUAUCAGUAGGAGAUUUCAUGGACAAAAUACAUGAAGAGAUGAAUGUUGAAGUUUCAGUGAGCAAAGUGUAUAGAUGUGAUGACCCAAAAGGUCAUCUUAUGUUUUAAAACUCGAAUCUGCGCUCUUAAGCCUUAAAAAUCUCAUUUUUUUUCCCUCCUCGAUUUGUGUGCACAGUUCGGACAGGUUUCCGAAAAGCUUUUAUGUUGAAAAUUGAUGAAAAUAAGAAUUUAUGCCUUAAAAGUUAAUUUUAGUUUACUUCGGUCAAUAUUUUUAGUAAACGGGCCCGGAUCCGUAUUUUGAUGAUCCCGGUGGGUCCGUAUCAAAUUAUGGGACCUGGACGUAUGCCCGGAAUCGAAUUUGGAGGUCCCUAUCUCAAGUUAUGAAUUUUUGAUGAAAAUUAAAAAUCUGAAAAAUUAAUUAUUUUUAAGAAUUGAUUGAUGUUGGGCAUUGUUAGUGCCGGGUCCGUAUUCUGGUUCCGGAGCCCGGUACAGGUUUAUUAUGAUAUUUAAGACUUGUCUGUGAAAUUUGGUGAGAAACGGAGUUGAUUUGACGUGAUUCGAACGUCCAGUUGAGAAAAUAGAAAUUUUAAAGUGUUCUUGAAAAUUUCAUUUGAUUUGGUGCUAAAUUCGUAGUUCUAGGUGUUAUUUUGGCGAUUUGAUCGCGCGAGCAAGUUCGUAUGAUAUUUUUAGACUUGUGGACAUGUUUGGUUUGGAGCACCGAGAGCUCGGGGUGAGUUUCGGAUAGGCCACGGGAUAUUUUGGACUUUGGAAAUCUGGUAUUUUGCUGCAGCAAGUGUUCUGGCAUGUCCUUCUUCGCGUUCACGAAGGUACUCUCGCGAACGCGAAGAGUAAACUGGGCAGCUGAAGGUUUCUUCUUCGCGAACGCGAAGCGAUGAGGGCGUUACCCUUCGCGAACGCGACAAGCCCAUCGCGAACGCGUAGUGUUAGGCAUUGGGGAUGGGGAGUCAGCCGUUCCUUCAUCGCGAACGCGAAGGCCAGGGGGGAGUAACCAUCGCGAACACGAGCUGGGUCUCGCGAACGCGUAGACUUGGCAGCCAGUACCCUUCGCGAACGCGAUGAAUACUGUCGCCCAGCACUUAACAGAAUCCAAAAACGGAAUUUUAGCCAAAAACUCAUUUUUCUCAAAAAACAAGCGGUGAGAGGCAGUUUUUCAAGAGCUAUUUCUUCCCUAAAUUGUUGAUAAGUGAUUCUAAACCAUUUUCUUUCAAUUACCCAUUACAUUUUNNNNNNNNNNNNNNNNNNNNNNNNNGAGGUCGGAUUCCAAAACCAAUUAUAUAUUCGGGAUCGGGGAUGAAUGGGUAAGUAGAUUUUGGUCCGAACCUCGGGUUUUGAUCAAGCGGGUCCGGGGUCGAUUUUUCGACUUUUUGGAGAAAAAUUUAGGAAAUUUAAUUUAUGCAAUAUAAUUGACUCCUUUAGCAAUAUUUGAUAUUAUUGAGUUAUUUUUGAAUAGAUACGAGUGGUUUGGAGAUGAAUUCUAAAGGAAAAGCUGUGAUUGAGAAUUAAGUGGCCUUCAGAGCGAUGUAAGUGUUGUUUCUAACCCUGACUUGAGGGAAUUAGGAACCUUAGAUUACUUGCUAAGUGAAAUCCAUGUGAGCAACGUAUAUGUGAGGUGACAAGUACUUAUGUGCCGCCAAUUUACCUGUUUUCCAUGUUUCUCUGUUUUCCUUAUAUUGUCUCUUUCCUAUGCCAAAUUGCUAUGUGUUAUAUUAGUGUUGUUCAAUUUAUCGUUCUUAUCAUGUUUACGAAUUUUCUGGUGAUAAUUGAGUGUUUAUUUCAAAGUUGAGAUUGAUAUUAUGGAACCAAAUGUUGAAGUAAUGUUUGUACUUAUUAAUCUAUCUCUCUGUUGUUAUUUAUGCAUUGCAUUAUGGUAAGGGAGAGUGUUAAUACACGAAGGGUGAUGCCAUGCCAUAUUGUGAGUGUUAAUGCACGAAGGGUGAUGUCGUGCUAUGAUAUGAAAGUUAAUGCACGAAGGGUGAUGCCGUGCCGUUUCUAUUAAUUUUAGGUGAGAUUGAGAGUAAAAGCACAAAGGGUGAUGCCGUAUAUUUUUCAUGGUAUAUUGACUGCUCCGAUGAUCAUUCUAUUGUAGUUCUUUAUCUUGUAUUCCCCUACGUAUGUUCCCCUCCCGACAUUUUCUGUUUAGUUCUUCAUCUCUGUUAUUUAUAUAUACACUAUUAAAUUGUACAGGUUGAUUUGUAGGUGCCUUGCCUUAGCCUCGUCACUACUUCGUCGAGGUUAGGAUCGACACUUACCAGUAUAUGGGAUCGGUUGUACUGAUACUACACUCUGCACUUUCUGUGCAGAUUUUGAUAUCGGCUCGGGUUGAUCGAGAUUUUGCUAUUGGUCCGCUGUCCGGAGACUCAAUGUAGAUCUGUCGGUGUUCACAGACCUUGAAGUCCCCGUCUAUCUUUUCUGUUCUACUGUUUCUUUCAUUCAGACAUUUGUAUUUCUUUCUGACUAUUAGUUGUAGCAAAUUCUAGAAUGCUCGUGAAUUGUGACUCAAGAUCCGGGGUAGUAAUUAAUACAGUUUUAUAAUAUUCCGUACUUAUUAUAUUUCAUCUUAGUUAAUUAUUGUUAUUUACUGAAUGGAAAUAAGGAAUUGGUCUAACGAUUUUCUAACGUUGGCUUGCCUAACAAGUGAAAUGUCAGGCGCCAUCAUGGUCCCGUCGGUGAGAAAUUUCGGAUCGUGACAAUAGAACAAAGACAAUAGCAAAGGAAAUGAUAGAAGGUCUCUACAAAGAACAAUAUGCAAAAUUAGAGGACUAUUGUGCAGAACUCAAGAGAAAGAAUCCAGGAUCAAUUGUAUUGUUAGAAACAACACCUCAUGAAGAGGAUGGCAGACCUGUUUUUGAAAAAAUGUACAUAUGUCUUGAGCCCUGCAGAAGAGGUUGGAUGGAAGGUUGUAGGCCACUCAUUAGGAUAGACGGUUUCUUUCUUUAAGGACCAUAUGGAGGUCAACUUUUGACAGUAAUUGGGAUAGAUGCUGAUAAUGGUAUAUUUCCUAUAGCCUACGCUGUAGUUGAUAUUGAAAAUAAGCAUAACUAGAAGUGAUUUUUAAAUUUGUUGGUGGAUGACUUGCAAAUUAGAAAUCAUGAUAACUUAUGUCUCAUUACAGACAAACAAAAGGUAAGAUUUUUUAUCCACAUAUAAUACCAAAUUCUAAUUGCUUUCAAUUAUCAAAAUUAGCCAUGUUUAUUAUUCUACUCACUUUUGUAGGGUUUGGAGGGAGCUAUUUAUGAGACAGUUCUCCAAGUUGAACAUAGGCUUUGUGUAAGACAUUUGUAUAAUAAUUUCAAGAAAGAGCACAAAGGUUUAUCGUUGAAGAUAAGAGUUUGGAAAGCUGCAAGGGCAACUCAUGUAAGUAAGUAUAGAUAUGAGAUGGAUAUGCUGGAAAAGGAGGACAAAGAAGUUAGAAAUUAGUUCAACGAUAGACCACCCAAAUUCUGGAGCAAGUCACAUUUUAGAACAACAACAAAGUGUGAUAUGCUUUUGAAUAAUCUUUGUGAGGCAUCAAUGGGACAAAACCCAUUUUGAGGGCAAGGGAGAAACCUAUACUUGGACUACUUGAAGGAAUUAGAAUAUACUUGAUGAAGAAACUGAACCAAAAGAGGGAAGACCUGCUCAAAUACCAAGGUAAUAUUGUUAUUGUAACUUCUCUGAAGCACAAAAUAUUUAACAUGAUCCUGACAAUAUUUUACUAUAACAGGAAAUUUAUGCCCUCGAAUCCGAAAACUAGUAAAAAAAGUGAAGGAAGACUCGGCUACAUCAAUUCCUACUUGGGCUGAAAAAUUUUCAUUUCAAGUAAAGACCAUGUAUGGUGAACAAUUUAGUGUUGACUUGAGUGGAAGAAUCUAUUCAUGUAGGGGAUGGGACCUUACAGGAAUCUCAUGCUCACAUGCAAUGAGCUGCAUAUUCCAUAUAAGAGAGAAUCCAAAAAAUUUCAUACAUGAUUGUUACAAGAAGACUGCUCAAAUGAGGAUUUAUGAGCCAGUCAUUGCUCCAAUGGAUGGACCUGAUAUGUGGGAACCUACUGAUCUACUUGAUGUUAACCCUCCUAACUAUGAGCCGAAGACAAGUAAGUUGAACAAAAAUAGAAGAAAAGAGCCCGAUGAAAUUGAAGCCUCCGAGAGAAAAGUAGUUGAGAUGAAAAAACAGAGAAGAGAGAAAAAGAAAAAAUAAUCUACAACAAGUGAAAUGCAUGAUGUUACCAAAUUGAGUAAGAAAGGGAAGUUAGGGAGGUGUAGCAAGUUCUUGCAAACUGGUCACAACAAAAUAACUUGCAACAAGAGUAGCGAUUCCUCGAAUUCAACAACUCUACCUCAAGCUACUCAAACAACUCAAGAUUGGUGCCAAAAUGCUACAAGUCAAUCCCCACCCAAGUAAGCAAAUCAAUUUUGAGUCCACUUAUUGGACUGGACAUAUAAAUGAACCUUCCAAACUCAAUGUAAGUAUGGAACCUUGAAUAUAGGUGAUUUAGUACUUUGAGAGACAGUUAAUAUAUUUGUGUUCUUUAUUUAUUUUCACAGCUAAGAAGGCCAAUGGAGGAUGAUUCAUCUCAUAGACCUGCGCGAGCUCAAGUUGGUGGCAUUGUGUUAAAUGCUGAGAAGUAUAUGUAGAAUGGAAAAAAUUGUAUUAGCUUACAAACCCUUCAAAAUACAAGUGCUAUAGAGAAGUCCAAGAAAAAGAGCUUUGAUGUGGAAGAAAAUAGAAGCAAUUAGCAUAUGAAAUUAUCAGCAAGAACAAAUUUUAAUUUCAUCAAGACUUCUUUUGUUGUUUAAUGGAUAUUUCCCUAUCAUUUAUUCCUAAGAGAUUUUCAAUGUCAAGUUUGUCAUUUACCUUUACAAUUUAAUUUUAGUAUUUUUACUCUUCGAAGCCUUUUAUUUGUAUAUCCUAUUUUGCCCUCAUAAAAAAUUUAUAUAAAUGGUGGUUUUAUUAUUUUGCAAGAGAAUAAAGAGGUUAGGGUUGAAAUCGUAUAAAAAAAUAAGACAGGGUGCAAAUCACAAAAAAGGAUACACAUUAGAGGUGCAAAAUGCGACGGACUCAAAGAAUCUGAGUAUAUAAGUCUUCCGAGGCAUUCCCCUAAAAUAGUAUAAAUAAAGGCGUCUAUAAAUAAAUAAAUAAAUAAAGUCUAGAGAAAGAUUUGUUGUUACCGCUGAGAUGAAUCAACAGAGCCUGCACUCUAAGUCACGAAAAUAUGUCUCUAAUCACGGAUUUUCACCUACAAACGCAACACCUACCGCACGACGUGGUAGGCCCAAACGGGCUAAGUACCACCAAAGGAUAGCUAGAAGUCUCAUUGACUGCCCCCAAAGGUGGAGGGCAAGACUAGCGUGGGCCACAUAAAUAUAAAAAAAAUACAGCAAGUAGAGCAGACAAUUCAUAUAAAAAUAAUUGAAUAAUCUAAAAAGCUAAAACUUGUUUUGAUAACUGAAUUCAGAUUAGUAAAUGAAAGUCGAAGCUAUAAACUAAUUUUGUAUCUAAUAAAUGAAACUAAAACUUAAAACUGAGUCUAAAACUGAUAUCUGAAACUGAAGUUGAAAACUGUGUUACUUUUAAAAAAAUAGUUUUUCUGAAAAUAUUGCACAUAAUGGCGCUAUGUAUAUGAGGAUCUGGGCACCGUAUGGGGACUGUUAAAGCUACUUUGGAGCCUCCGGUCAUGCUUACUGAAACUCAAUCUGUAUGUGGGGCCAUCGAGUGACUCAAUCAAGCUUAACACGUCUGAACGUGCUAGCAUCUACAAGCAUGUGGUAGCUAGCCCUGGCCACCGUGACACUCAUGCUCGUGGAGGGUAUCUACUUUUCUCUUUUUGAAUCUGAAUCUGAAUUUGAAUAUUUUAGGCCCUCGUGGAUAAAGUCUCCACUAUACUAACUCAUACACACUAAGCCCUCGUGGAUAAAGUGAGACUAUAUUAUUUUUUUUCUUCUGAAUCUGAACUGAAAGUUUGAGCAGUACAAGCAAUUUCACGUAAACAAUCAAUCAGAGAACAUCAAGAACCUAUUCAUUUUCUGUUCUAAAUAUGAACUGUAGGUCUGAGCAAUAUAAGUAGCUUCACAUAAUAACAAUUCCACAUAAUCAAAUAAUUACAACAAGGCAUACUAUUUAAGAUUUCUCGUAUUAGAGGUUUUCAUUGUAUAUAUAUAGUAAGGCAAGCAAGCAAGCAAUAUACUAUUCACAUUUUAAUAUAGCCCUUUACUUAGGGAAGAAAGUUCAAAUCACCUCUAAUGGGGUGCUCAAGUUUUUCCUUCCAAGAACUCACGAAUUCGGCUCCUCAAAAUCUACAGUUAAGCAGUUACAAUCAUUAUUUUGUCCUACUAACUCAACACCCAUAAUUCACUCGAGGCUUUAUUGGCCAGCAAUAACUUUUCAUAACUUUCUACCCAUAACUCUUAUAAAUUUCAUAAUCUGUAGUCAUAGUCUGUCAUAAAAUUACUAACUUUAAUACUAAUAGGUAACGAAACGUAUCUUGAAUGAUGCCUCCACAAACCCUGGGUCUUGACGAACGCUUGAUUUUUUGGGUGAAAACCUAGAUUUUAGGAAUUAGAAGGUGUUAAACGAUGUUAAUCUAAAUUUUUUAACUUGAAUCCAUGGUAGAAAUCUUACCUUGGGUGGAUUGGUGAAUCCCUAAUCAAGUCGUUCUUGCUCUCAAAAUCUCUCCAAAAUACAGUAGAAAUAAGUGAACUUCUCUCAUUUUGAAGUGCCUCAACCUGACACGUUAUGCCACACGUCGCAUGGCACCUCGAAAUUUUUUAGAAACUCAAAUUUUCGCCCAUUUGACCCAAAUUUGGCCUGGCAUGUCGAGCCGCACGUAUGACACGUUGUUUUAGGAUAUUUUUUUCGGAAC
rnacentral:lncRNA from 1 species